AACGCACCUUGCGCCCCUUGGCAUUCCGAGGGGCACGCCUGUUUGAGUGUCGUGAACUCCUCCACCCUCUACCUUUUUCGGAAGGCAUUGGGCUGGGAUUUGGGAGCUUGCGGGUCCCUGGCCGAUCCGCUCUCCUUGAAUACAUUAGCGAAGCCCUUGCGGCCUUGGUGUGAUAGUCAUCUACGCCUUGGCUUAGCGAACAUACGGGAAUCGCUUCCAACCGUCUCGCAGGAGACAAUCACUACCAACUUGACCUCAAAUCAGGCGGGACUACCCGCUGAACUUAA
rnacentral:misc_RNA from 1 species